AACGGCGAGUGAAGCGGCAACAGCUCAAAUUUGAAAUCUGGACCUAGUCCCGAGUUGUAAUUUGCAGAGGAUGAUUUUGGCGCGGUGCCUUCCAAGUUCCCUGGGACGGGACGCCGGAGAGGGUGAGAGCCCCGUCAGGUUGGACACCAAGCCUAUGUAAAUCUCCUUCGACGAGUCGAGUAGUUUGGGAAUGCUGCUCUAAAUGGGAGGUAUAUGUCUUCUAAAGCUAAAUACCGGCCAGAGACCGAUAGCGCACAAGUAGAGUGAUCGAAAGAUGAAAAGCACUUUGGAAAGAGAGUUAAACAGCACGUGAAAUUGUUAAAAGGGAAGCGUUUACGACCAGACUUGUGCCGGUUGAUCAUCCAGCGUUCUCGCUGGUGCACUCUGCCGGCCCAGGCCAGCAUCAGUUCGCCGCGGGGGAUAAAGGCGUCGGGAAUGUGGCUCCCCCGGGAGUGUUAUAGCCCUUCGCGCAAUACCCUGAGGCGGACUGAGGUUCGCGCAUUCGCAAGGAUGCUGGCGUAAUGGUCGUCAACGACCCGUCUUGAAACACGGACCAAGGAGUCGUCUUCGUAUGCGAGUGUUCGGGUGUAAAACCCCUACGCGUAAUGAAAGUGAACGCAGGUGAGAGCUUCGGCGCAUCAUCGACCGAUCCUGAUGUUCUCGGAUGGAUUUGAGUAAGAGCAUACGGGGCCGGACCCGAAAGAAGGUGAACUAUGCCUGUAUAGGGUGAAGCCAGAGGAAACUCUGGUGGAGGCUCGCAGCGGUUCUGACGUGCAAAUCGAUCGUCAAAUAUGGGCAU
rnacentral:rRNA from 1 species